CCUACGGGCGGCAGCAGUGGGGAAUAUUGGACAAUGGGGGGAACCCUGAUCCAGCGACGCCGCGUGAGUGAAGAAGUAUUUCGGUAUGUAAAGCUCUAUCAGCAGGGAAGAAAGAAAUGACGGUACCUGACUAAGAAGCCCCGGCUAAAUACGUGCCAGCAGCCGCGGUAAUACGGAGGGGGCAAGCGUUACCCGGAUUUACUGGGUGAAAAGGGAGCGUAGAGGGCGAUGCAAGUCUGAAGUGAAAGGCGGGGGCCCAACCCCCGGACUGCUUUGGAAACUGGAUGGCUGGAGUGCAGGAGAGGUAAGUGGAAUUCCUAGUGUAGCGGUGAAAUGCGUAGAUAUUAGGAGGAACACCAGUGGCGAAGGCGGCUUACUGGACUGUAACUGACGUUGAGGCUCGAAAGCGUGGGGAGCAAACAGGAUUAGAUACCCCAGUAGUC
rnacentral:rRNA from 1 species